rnacentral:rRNA from 1 species
UUGAACGCUGGCGGCAUGCCUUACACAUGCAAGUCGAACGGUAACAGGUCUUCGGAUGCUGACGAGUGGCGAACGGGUGAGUAAUGCAUCGGAACGUGCCUAUUUGUGGGGGAUAACGUAGCGAAAGUUACGCUAAUACCGCAUACGCCCUGAGGGGGAAAGCGGGGGAUUCGUAAGAACCUCGCGCAAUUAGAGCGGCCGAUGUCGGAUUAGCUAGUUGGUGGGGUAAAGGCUCACCAAGGCGACGAUCCGUAGCGGGUCUGAGAGGAUGAUCCGCCACACUGGGACUGAGACACGGCCCAGACUCCUACGGGAGGCAGCAGUGGGGAAUUUUGGACAAUGGGCGAAAGCCUGAUCCAGCCAUGCCGCGUGAGUGAAGAAGGCCUUCGGGUUGUAAAGCUCUUUCAGCCGGAAAGAAAUCGCGCAGGCUAAUACUCUGCGUGGAUGACGGUACCGGAAGAAGAAGCACCGGCUAACUACGU